AUGGGAGUUCUAGCAAACAGGCAUAUUGCAACUUCAGGCCAAUGUCCGGUGUGCCAGAUUCAGGUUGAGGACGUGGCUCAUGCACUAUUCGCAUGUAGCAGAGCACAGGAGGUUUGGAGAUCACUCGGGCUAUAUGAAAUCAUUGCACGUGCAUCCAUUCCUCACCGAUCAGGGGCAGAGAUCCUUGAGAGUUUACUCUGCGAACCAACUAAUCAGGUGCAGUACUUGGGCGUGAUCCAAUUACCAGAGAUAAUUGCUGCCCCCAGUUGGUAUUUGUGGUGGCAGCGGCGCCAACUGUCGAAGAACGAAGAAGUCCAGACACCCGAGCGAACAGGCCCGGCAAUUCACGCACUUACACUGAACUUUGUCCGAGCAAAUGUAAAGCCUAACCCUGCUGCACGCGUGAACAGAUGGAGAAAACCAUUGCUAGGCCAAGUAAUUUUGAAUGUCGAUGCAUCCUUUUCUGAUGAGGAUCAUACAGGUUCAUGUGGUGCCGUUAUCAGGGAUCACCUGGGGGCGUUCGUAGGUGCUUCUACCGCUAAACUGGAACAUGCAGCAGAUAUUGAAUCAGCGGAAGCAGCGGCUCUAGUAGAGGGACUGAAAUUAGCUGCAACUCUUGGCAUUAAUUCGCUCCUGGUGUAGAUGGACAAUUUAACCGUGGUGGAAUCUCUAAACACAAACUCUGGUCAUUCUAUGGUAGCUGGCCCUUUACUUGAUAUUUGUCGUAGCCUUAUGGAAGAUUUCGGGAAGGUUUUAAUCGAGCAUUGUAAUAGGGAAUCUAAUAUGGUAGCGCAUGUGCUAGCCCAACAGGGCCGUGUUGAUCCUCCUAAUCUGUGGUUGGACACACCCCCUAGUUUUAUUGCUAUAUUAUUUGAAUUAAUAAAGCUAGUCAUGAAAGUCUUCCCGUCAAAAAAAAAAACAAUGCUGCUCUUCUCACGUACACACACAUCACGCACACCCUCAACACACAUAGGCGCUCAGCCAUGGCCGGCUGUAGUAGCAACGGCAACAGAAGCACGAGCAGUGGUAGGAGCUAAGCAGAAGCAGCAAGCAACACAGCAGCGGCGGCAUAGCAGCGGCAAGGCAGCAGAACAGCAACGUGGCAAGAGCAGCCGUGAGCAGUAG
rnacentral:rRNA from 1 species